UGGAUCCAGACUUUGAUCCUGGCUCAGGAUGAACGCUAGCUACAGGCUUAACACAUGCAAGUCGAGGGGAAACGACAUCGAAAGCUUGCUUUUGAUGGGCGUCGACCGGCGCACGGGUGGGUAACGCGUAUCCAACCUGCCCACCACUUGGGGAUAACCUUGCGAAAGUAAGACUAAUACCCAAUGAUAUCUCUAGAAGACAUCUGAAAGAGAUUAAAGAUUUAUCGGUGAUGGAUGGGGAUGCGUCUGAUUAGCUUGUUGGCGGGGUAACGGCCCACCAAGGCAACGAUCAGUAGGGGUUCUGAGAGGAAGGUCCCCCACAUUGGAACUGAGACACGGUCCAAACUCCUACGGGAGGCAGCAGUGAGGAAUAUUGGUCAAUGGACGAGAGUCUGAACCAGCCAAGUAGCGUGCAGGAUGACGGCCCUAUGGGUUGUAAACUGCUUUUAUAAGGGAAUAAAGUGAGUCUCGUGAGACUUUUUGCAUGUACCUUAUGAAUAAGGACCGGCUAAUUCCGUGCCAGCAGCCGCGGUAAUACGGAAGGUCCGGGCGUUAUCCGGAUUUAUUGGGUUUAAAGGGAGCGUAGGCCGGAGAUUAAGCGUGUUGUGAAAUGUAGACGCUCAACGUCUGCACCGCAGCGCGAACUGGUUUCCUUGAGUACGCACAAAGUGGGCGGAAUUCGUGGUGUAGCGGUGAAAUGCUUAGAUAUCACGAAGAACUCCGAUUGCGAAGGCAGCUCACUGGAGCGCAACUGACGCUGAAGCUCGAAAGUGCGGGUAUCGAACAGGAUUAGAUACCCUGGUAGUCCGCACGGUAAACGAUGGAUGCCCGCUGUUGGUCUGAAUAGGUCAGCGGCCAGGCGAAAGCAUUAAGCAUCCCACCUGGGGAGUACGCCGGCAACGGUGCAACUCAAAUGAAUUGACGGA
rnacentral:rRNA from 1 species